UCAGAUGCGAAAGCGUGGGUAGCAAACAGGAUUAGAUACCCUGGUAGUCCACGCCGUAAACGCUGUCUACUUGGAGGUUGAGGUUUUAGACUUUGGCUUUCAGCGCUAACGCAUUAAGUAGACCGCCUGGGGAGUACGGCCGCAAGGUUAAAACUCAAAUGAAUUGACGGGGGCCCGCACAAGCGGUGGAGCAUGUGGUUUAAUUCGAUGCAACGCGAAGAACCUUACCUACUCUUGACAUCCAGCGAAGCCUUUAGAGAUAGAGGUGUGCCUUCGGGAGCGCUGAGACAGGUGCUGCAUGGCUGUCGUCAGCUCGUGUUGUGAAAUGUUGGGUUAAGUCCCGCAACGAGCGCAACCCUUAUCCUUGUUUGCCAGCACAUAAUGGUGGAAACUCCAGGGAGACUGCCGGUGAUAAACCGGAGGAAGGUGGGGACGACGUCAAGUCAUCAUGGCCCUUACGAGUAGGGCUACACACGUGCUACAAUGGCAGAUACAGAGGGCAGCGAGACAGCGAUGUUUAGCGAAUCCCUUAAAGUUUGUCGUAGUCCGGAUUGAAGUCUGCAACUCGACUCCAUGAAGUCGGAAUCGCUAGUAAUCGUGGAUCAGAAUGCCACGGUGAAUACGUUCCCGGGCCUUGUACACACCGCCC
rnacentral:rRNA from 1 species